GUUUUUGUAGUUGUAUUGCAGGAAAAAACGUAGGAGAAAGAAAUGGAAAAAGAAAAAACUGCUACAAGAAGAACAAUGAAGCAGGAAGAAGGGCAAUAAAGGAAUAUUUGUAUGUAUUUAAUGACACACCAACCAGAAUCGAUUUACCAUAACGCAUAAGCUAGGAAUAUUAGCUUCACUUUGAAUCGCGUUUGGGUCCUUAAAAUUGAUUUUACACCAAUCACCCAAACACCAUUGAAAAAGAAAAAACUCACGUUUGGUCUAAACGCGCGUUUACAAUUUUCCAACGCCUAA
rnacentral:lncRNA from 1 species